UACGUAGGGGCUAGCGUUAUCCGGAAUUACUGGGCGUAAAGGGUGCGUAGGUGGUUUCUUAAGUCAGAGGUGAAAGGCUACGGCUCAACCGUAGUAAGCCUUUGAAACUGGGAAACUUGAGUGCAGGAGAGGAGAGUGGAAUUCCUAGUGUAGCGGUGAAAUGCGUAGAUAUUAGGAGGAACACCAGUUGCGAAGGCGAUUCUCUGGACAGUAACUGACACUGAGGCACGAAAGCGUGGGGAGCAAACAGGAUUAGAUACCCUGGUAGUCCCUGAG
rnacentral:rRNA from 1 species